rnacentral:rRNA from 1 species
AUAGCGUAUAUUAAAGUUGUUGCGGUUAAAAAGCUCGUAGUUGGAUCUCGGUUUCGGACGGGCGGUGCACCUUGCGGUGUUUACUGUCUGUCCGGACGAUUUUGUUGGUUCGUGUAUAGUUCUCUUAACCGGGUGCUAUACGUGGCCAGCACGUUACUUUGAAAAAAUUGGAGUGCUCAAAGCAGGCGCUACAGCCUGAACAUUAGUGCAUGGAAUAAUGGAAUAGGAUCUCGGUUCUAUUUCGUUGGCUUUCGGAGUCGAGGUAAUGAUUAAUAGGAACAGACGGGGGCAUUCGUACUGCGACGUUAGAGGUGAAAUUCUUGGAUUUACGGAAGACUAACUUCUG